rnacentral:rRNA from 1 species
GACGGAAGGUGCAAGCGUUGCUCGGAAUCACUGGGCGUAAAGGGUGCGUAGGCGGCUUGGUAAGUUGGGUGUGAAAGCCCCGGGCUCAGCCCGGGAAGGGCACUCGAAACUGCCGAGCUGGAGUGCCGGAGGGGAGAGUGGAAUUCCCGGUGUAGAGGUGAAAUUCGUAGAUAUCGGGAGGAACACCGGUGGCGAAGGCGGCGACCUGGGUCGAGACUGACGCUGAGGCGCGAAAGCGUGGGGAGCAAACAGG